CAGUCGCCACGGUAAUACGUAGGGUGCAAGCGUUAAUCGGAAUUACUGGGCGUAAAGCGUGCGUAGGCGGUUAUAUAAGUCAGAUGUGAAGUCCCCGGGCUCAACCUGGGAACUGCAUUUGAGACUGUAUGGCUAGAGUGUGUCAGAGGGGGGUAGAAUUCCACGUGUAGCAGUGAAAUGCGUAGAUAUGUGGAGGAAUACCGAUGGCGAAGGCAGCCCCCUGGGAUAACACUGACGCUCAUGCACGAAAGCGUGGGGAGCAAACAGGAUUAGAUACCCGAGUAGUCCCUGUCUCUUAUAC
rnacentral:rRNA from 1 species